rnacentral:rRNA from 1 species
GACAGAUGGGAGCUUGCUCCCUGAUGUUAGCGGCGGACGGGUGAGUAACACGUGGGUAACCUGCCUGUAAGACUGGGAUAACUCCGGGAAACCGGGGCUAAUACCGGAUGGUUGUUUGAACCGCAUGGUUCAAACAUAAAAGGUGGCUUCGGCUACCACUUACAGAUGGACCCGCGGCGCAUUAGCUAGUUGGUGAGGUAACGGCUCACCAAGGCAACGAUGCGUAGCCGACCUGAGAGGGUGAUCGGCCACACUGGGACUGAGACACGGCCCAAACUCCUACGGGAGGCAGCAGUAGGGAAUCUUCCGCAAUGGACGAAAGUCUGACGGAGCAACGCCGCGUGAGUGAUGAAGGUUUUCGGAUCGUAAAGCUCUGUUGUUAGGGAAGAACAAGUACCGUUCGAAUAGGGCGGUACCUUGACGGUACCUAACCAGAAAGCCACGGCUAACUACGUGCCAGCCGCCG